UGACUGGGUACUAGGUGGUACUGGUGGUGUUAUUGGUGACUGGGUACUAGUUGGUACUGGUGGUGACUGGGUACUAGGUGGUACUGGUGGUGACUGGGUACUAGGUGGUACUGGUGGUGUUAUUGGUGACUGGGUACUAGGUGGUACUGGUGGUGUUAUUGGUGACUGGGUACUAGGUGGUACUGGUGGUGUUAUUGGUGACUGGGUACUAGGUGGUACUGGUGGUGUUAUUGGUGACUGGGUACUAGGUGGUACUGAUGGUGACUGGGUAC